rnacentral:lncRNA from 1 species
AAACCAAAACGUUAGCCAUAGCACUGUAUUUUUCUGAUUAGAUCUAGAACGAAAGAGAUGUAGUUUAUGAGCAGAACCAAGUACCUUCUUAUAGUCGUCUCAAAUGCCUUGCACAUCGCAUUGAAUCCAGAUCGUGGAUGAUAGAUUAAUUGGGGGGUGAUUAAAGAUGAUUGAUUGAUCGGUUUCAGAGAUCUAGCGACGAAGGAGACCGAAGGUCAGAUGCGCAAGUUGAAUCGCCUUGCGAGCUAUAGACGCGAGAAGGCCUCAGCAUAACUUAAUCCGAGAACGUUGCGUUUAGUGACAGUCUAACACACGUGAUGGGCUGAAUGUUUUAAAGCCCAACAAAACAAUUGAAAUAGAGUGAACGACUUAAACGGCGCGCUGCGUUUUACAGAUCGGACACGUGUCGCAACAUCCUCUCUCUAUUUGUUGCGCUGGCGCAAGGAGAAGGGAGUCCCUCUCUACUUUAUGUUAUUAGAUUCCUACGUCUUAAACUCAAACUAAUUUUAGAAUAACUGUUAGGGUGGUGCACCUCAUAAUAGGAGAUAGUUUCUCAAUAGAAACAUUUUAUUAAAUUUUCUAGAAACUAAAUUAACAAGGGUCUCUUGUGCAAUAGUUCAAUUUAUAUAAAAAAAAAAUAGUUAGAAGACUUUGCACAAAGAAAACACAUUCGCGAUCACACAGAAAUCGAUAUAUUAUAUAGGGUUUUCAAAAUAACGAAGACUUUUCUUCAUUAUAAUACUGUAUGGCUUGCCCGCGGGCCUGGCCCAUAGACCCAAUGCGGGGCGGGAUUGGAUACAGAUUUUACGGCCCGUUUGUUAGCGGGCCUCGCGGGUUAUGCCCGCAAUGGUAUUGAGCCGAAGCGGGAUGCGUGACAAUUGGGUGGCCCGCUUGAAUUUUCUCAUUUCGUCUCUUUGGUAACACCAACAAGAGCUUAGAGUAAACCAGAGAUGAUGAUGGCGAUUCUCAUUUCCUCCAACCGGUAACCUAAACUCAUUUACUUCAGUUGUGCCUCUUCCAGUUCGCUUUCAAUCAAUGAAUCAUAUUUUCUCUUCAAGCUUUGCAAUGUUGACCAGAACUCGUUCACUUUCUUUGUUACUCAUCGUAGGGAAAAAAGGAUUUUUUUUCUGAAGUGAGUGUGAGUGGAGACAAGAAAUUCUACACAAAACUUGUUUUUUAUUGUUGCUUUUCUAGAAACUUAAUCAUCGUUCUCGAAUGUGAGUUGUCUAAACUUUCCUUUUAUUUAUUGUCUUUGCUUGGUGGACCAUUAUAAAUGUCAACGGGUUGAAAACUUGAAAUGUGGUAGCGAUUUGGAUGUUUGAGAGAUGUAUAGUUAAUAUUAAGAUGGACAUCCAACUCGCUAGUGUGAUAGAAUAUAUGGAAUCUUAUAUGGAAUGCAGUUAUUCAAGUGUAGUUUAAGUGUCUUCUUAAUCUUUUGGAAGAGUUGAUAAAGUUCUAAUAGACUGUGAAUGUAAUGCUUCUACAUCGUUAUCUCGGAAGAUUUGAAAUGUUGAGCGUCUUUUACAGUGUAUGAUUGAGUCUAGCCUUAGGCAGUUAUAGUUUGCUAUGAGGGUCUUUCUUCUUUGUUUCUUUGACAUUAGCUACGUGAUAUAAAGCUUUUGUCUUGCUUUGGGACUUGAUGUUAGCAGAAGCUUUUACUAUUAGUUACAAAAGCUUGUGGUUCCUAUUGAAUUUACUUAGUGAUGCCAAAACUAAUCUUUUUUUUUAACUUGUAUAUAUAUAUAUCAACAGGAUUGUAGUAGGACAAGUUACUGUUUCUGGAGAACACCAAUGGAUACAAUGUCUUAUGCUACAAACGAAAGUCGAGACAAUAUUUGCAACUUAAUGGAUUUGAUCAACCUGAUAACUUAUUGCUGUCUCGUUCUUCUUCCAGGUUCACAGGAUUGGUCAAGCUUUGAAGAUAUGGGCCCGUGGGCCGACCCGCAUACCCGUUGCUAUAGUGCGGGUCGGGAUUGGUCAUAGGGUUCAUGGUCCGCAUCCCGCAGCGGUACGACCCGCAAAGACCCAACUGAAAAUAGUACCACAGCGGGAUGGGACAAAUGGGUUGCGGGUAAGCCCAAUUGCCAUCUCUAAUAAUACACAUUGACUUGUUUGAGUGGUAAGUCGAUCUCCCUUGGUAUACUUAGUUUAAAAAAUAUAUAUAACUAAGAUCUUCACCACAAAAAAUAAUAAUACAAAAAUAACUAAAACCAUACAUUUUACUCAAUUAAAAAAACUUUAUUAAAUUCUCAAAAACUCAGUUAAACACAUAUCCCUUGUGUUAUAAAGUUAAACUAAAAUAAUUAAAAUAUUAUUGUUAGCAAAUUUAUAUCUCUCAUAAUCAUUUAUGGGCUCUAAUAAAGAAGUUGACAUACAUUUUGUAACAAUAUAAAACCGACUGUUAACUCAACUAUAAAAAAUUAUUAAAUUCUCAAGAAACUCCAUUAACAUAUGUCUCUUGUGUUACAAAAAAUAAAAUAAGAUAAUUAAAAUAUUAUUGUUAGCAAAUUUAUAUAUCUCCCAAUCAUUUAUGGGAUCUAAUAAAGAACUAGACAGAAUUUUUUUGUAAUUAUAAGACUAUGACGGCCCGUAAAUAAAAGGCCCAAGCCCAGCAGGUAAAGAGUGAUCUUCGAAACUAGGGUUUUGUCUGAAGCUUCAUUGCCUCGAGUUUAUCAGUCGCUCUCUUUACCUCUUUGCAUCCUUUUCUGCAUCUUUUCUUCAGCGGAGAACAGCAACCAGUAGCCAUGGCUGAACAGGUUCGAUCUCUUCGUUAUAUAUCUCUUUAUUAAUACAUUUCUUAAGAAUAUUCUAAUUCUCUUCUCUCAUUUGCAGACUGAGAAAGCUUUCCUCAAGCAACCCAAAGUCUUCCUAAGGUAAAAAGAAAAAAGAAUGAAUCUUUAUCGUUGUGCUUUAAGAGCUUGUCCUUAAGAUGAUUAUUAUGUGACUAUUUCAGCUCGAAGAAAUCUGGGAAAGGAAAGAGACCUGGUAAAGGUGGAAACCGUUUCUGGAAGAACAUUGGUUUGGGUUUCAAGACUCCUCGUGACGCCAUUGAUGGUAGCUUCUAAGUUCUAAUUAUCCUUAAAGGAGAAAACUUUAGCAUUCUUUCUCAGACAUGUGUUGUCUGUGGAACAGGAACUUACAUUGACAGGAAAUGCCCAUUCACUGGAACUGUUUCAGUAAGAGGACGUAUCUUAGCUGGUACUUGCCACAGUGCCAAGAUGCAGAGAACCAUCAUCGUUCGCAGGAACUAUCUCCAUUUCGUCAAGAAGUAUCAAAGGUACUAACUAACCUCUCUUCUUUAUGUUUAGUAUUAAUGUUUUAAUAAUCUUAUUUUGAUCAGAUAUGAGAAGAGACAUUCCAACAUCCCUGCCCAUGUCUCACCUUGCUUCCGUGUCAAGGAAGGUGAUCAUGUCAUCAUUGGCCAAUGCAGGCCGUUGUCAAAGACGGUGAGGUUCAAUGUGCUGAAGGUGAUCCCAGCAGGUGCAUCUGCAUUUGCAAAGAAGGCAUUCACUGGAAUGUAAGAGUUUUUUUGAAGCUAUGGAGGGUUUUCUUUGUUUGGUUUUGAUUUUUGGAAUGUGUUGUUUGGUGUACUGGUUCUAAAUGUUUUGUCUUUGGUUUGGUACUUAUCUCUAUAAGAGUCCAUUGCUUAGCUUAAUCUUAAACAAGGACAGAUAUUCAAUGAUUUAUCCUAAUUGUUUAUGAGUUUUGUAUCUAAGUGAUACAUGUUGAUCAAAUGAAAAACAAGUUGGAGGAUUUAAAGAACAUAGAACAUCAUAACACAAUCAUAUGAGUCAUAUCCGUAAGAGAGACAUUCCAAAUGUCAGAAAAAAAACUAAGUUCGAAUGUAAUAGUUUUUGGUUUAGAAUAAAUAGUAUGGUGGCAAAUAAGUACGAACUAGUUCACUAGCGCAACCAUGAUGAACCCAAGCACCGACUAAUCGACCCAACAAAUAAUAUGUGGGCCAGAAUAAUUAUAGGCACAAAGCUGAUGGGUGUUGAGAUCUUUAGACAAAAAGUAAAAAGAGAGGUCCUACCGGGAGUCGAACCCAGGUCGCUGGAUUCAAAGUCCAGAGUGCUAACCACUACACCAUAGAACCAGAUGUUGUGCUGUUUAAAAGAUUACGUUCUAUAUUCAAAAUAAUAAGCUUUUUUUAAUUGUGAAACUCAUUGCAUCUUCUUAUAUAUACAUCUAUCUAUAAUAUUAAAAGAGAAACAUUCUGAAAAAUCUACUUACAAAAGUUUGUUGCACCAUUUUAUUAGACUUAACUAUUUUUUUGGUCUUACUUUAUAUUUUUCUAACUAUACAACAUUGUUAUUAAUCUAUACUAUUCAAAAUUUCACUUAAGAUUUUGUCUUUGAUUUGCUUUGCCACUUUUAUUUUUAUGCCUAACAACAUUUAUUAUCUUCAACUGUUUUACUAUAAAUUUGUCAAGUCAUAAAUAUUUUAACAAUAUUUUCAAAUCUCUGAACAUAUCAACAAUUUUAAUAUGAUUAAUUAAUUUUUGAUAGACUUUCUUUAACCCUUUUUUACAUCACGUAUAUAUUCUUACUUGUUGAAUGUCGUGGAAUGGUCAACACUUCAAAUUUAUCUUAUAUUCUAUCAGUUAAAAAUAAUAAUUACUAGACGUUAACUCGUGCACAUGCACAGAGUGAGUUUUUCAGGAUGCACCGAAGCUAUGAAUUAAGGAACAACUUUACACCAAUUCUAAAUUAUUUCAAUUUUGUCUAUUCUAUCUAAAAUAGUUUUAUAUAUAUCAAGUUACAAAAAUAUAUAUUUAGAUAUUGAUUUCCUUAGAUAAAAACUUUAAUUAUUUACAUUUUAUCAGUUUGCAUAUUUUCCAUAUUAUAAGUUACAAUGAAAUAUGGAAGAUAUAAUGAAAUGUGCAAACUGAUAUAAUGUAAAUAAUCAAAGUUUCUACGACAAAAUAUGGAAGAUAAGAGGUUGCGGAAAUGGAGCAAGAGGGAGUGUGGCAUUGACAAAUGAUAACAAAAUAAUUUUUGUGAGAGAUACACGAGCUUUUUUUACAGUAAAUAUAGAAAUGUUACACAAUAUAUAUGGGAUUAAAUUUAUAAAUCAAAGUGAUAUAUUCGAACUACAAAACUUCAAAAAGAAGUAUACAUACAAGUUAAUAGUGAUAUUCUUUUAUUUUGAAAGGUUUAGGUUUAUAUCCAAAUUAGACUAAAUAUGAGAGUUGAUACCAAAUACAAAAUAAUAAACAUGUUCUUGAUAUUAUGAAAGCACAUAUUUACUCUUUGUUUAAGCUUUAGUUUUAUCCAUUUUAAAUAUUUAUGUUCAAAAUUUUAAUACUAAAUUAAAUAUAUUAUUCUUUUGUUUAAAUUAUUAAUUCAUAUCAGUCGAAAUAUGAUACUAAAAUAACAGUUAGAAAUAUGAAGAUUCCUGCGGCGUAGCGCGGGUUAUUAUCUAGUUUACCUAAUAUACACAAAAUAUUCCAAGUACUUUGAGUAUCCGAUCAGGUCUUGGGUAGGAUGGACCCAAACCAAGACCUGCUAGUCAAAAAAAUAUCCAAUAGGUACUUUGCCUUGGACCGAGACCCAAACCAAAUAUAUAUUUUCAAGUCGGUUUUAGUUAUACAAAAUCUCAAAUAAAUUAACUCAUAAAUUAUAUAAUUGUUAAAAAAAAAUUGUUGCUUCGAAAUAAUACAGACUUUGUAACAUAAUAAUGUACAAUCUCGAAAUUCUAAAUUAUAUCAAUUUUAUUUAUAAUCCAAGAGAAUUCGCGCUUUUGAAGUGCGGUCAAAAUCAAAUUUUUAUUAAUUAAGAAACAUAAUAUAUCAUACUAUAUAUGUAGUAAAAUGCAUUGGGUACUUGGAAUCCUAUGGAUGAAGACAACAAAUUUAAGUAUAAUUUAGAUUUUGCCUCGUGAUGACGUCAAAGAUUCGGACUUGUAUGCAAUUGUUGCUGUCAGUGAACAUACUAUAGAAACUCUAUAAAUUAAUAUUUGAUAAAUUAAUUAACAAGCUAAAUUAAUACAUUUAUUUGGUUCCAAGUUCGGCCGGUUCAAAAUAAUUUUUAGAAAAUUGUAUGUAAAUAUAUAGUCCCACUACAAUUUAUAUAAAUAUAAUUUAUAUAAGUACAAAUAAAAUAUUGUAUUAUGUGUUUUAUAUAUUCACAAAAAAUAUUCACAAUGAAGUUUAUCUGUAUUUUUUCUUAACACUUCAAUAUAUUUUGAUAAUAUUUAAUGAAUGUAUAUGUAAAACUAUAUUUAAAUUCUAUGAAACAUAUUUUGUAUACACCAAAUAAUAUAACAAGCAUAUAUAAAAGUUGAAUUUAUAAAAUUUAAUGAAUAUAUAUACAAAUAAACUAUUUUCUUGUUUUAUAGAAAAGUCAUAUUCUAAAAUACAGAAAUCUAAAAAAAUGAAACUUUUUAUAAAUUAAUAACUCUAUAAAUGAAUAAAUUUCAUAUUCCCGAUAUUAUUAAUUUAUAGAGUUUUUACUGCAAUAAGAUUUAAAGGCUCUAAGCCUUUUUUCUUCAUUACUUUUUUAUAAAUGAAAAUAUAGAUUUGUUUCCAGUAUUGUUUACCAGCUGUGAUAUGAUACAAUGUAUUACCAUUAUGUACCAUAUAUGAUUAGGACUACAAAAUAUUAUGGUUAGGACUAGAAAAUAAAAAAAAUUAGGAAAAAGCAAAAAAAAAAGUAUGUGUUUGUCUAUAAAAGUUAUAGCUACCUAAGUAUAGGUAUUUAUCAUUAACAUUGCUUUCUUUCAAAUGAUAUAUAUAUGUUAUGAUUCUUCUCCAUGUAGGUUCAGUAGCUCUUGAAAUAUCUCAGUUUUGAGGUUUUAUCAAUGCUAGUUUUGGAGGUUAUAGUGUCAUUCUCAAGUGUUGGUCUAACAUUUUCUUGAAGGUUGUAAUAGAUUUACUUAGAGAAUGAUCAUAUCAGAGAAAACUGGUGGUGGGUUAUCAUGGAGUAGGGAUGAUAAUAUUGCUUUUGAGAGAGCUCUUGUGGUUUAUACCGACAAGACAGAUAAUCGUUGGGAAAAGAUUGCUGACUCUGUUCCAGAGAAAACUCUAGCACAAGUUAUAGAACAUUACAAUAGUUUACUUCAUGAUAUUACGAUGAUUGAAUCUGGAAUUGUACCUCUUCCUGAUUAUAAUGAUGUCCCGAUAGAAACAAAUGUUCGAGAAAGAAGCAUUGGGGAACGUAGUAUCAAUCGCAAAUGUGAGUAUAAGCAAGAAGAUGAACCAAAACCAAAGCGACGUAAGGCGGUUCCUUGGACACCGCUUGAACACAGGUUAGUUACUAGUACGAUUACUUCUACAUCACGAUUUUAUACAAUAAUUUUAGGUGUAUAAAAAAAAUUAUCAUAAAUUAUAUGAAAAAUAAGAGCUGUUUUUUUUUAUUUGAGUGUAAAAUAUUAUGAAUUUUCUUACACUGAGACACCGACACUUUGCAUAAUAUAUAGCUAGGCCCUGUUUGCGGGGUAAACAACAUAAGCAGCUGCUUAGGAUCCAUGGAAUGUGUUUAAAAAUUUACACUACAAAUUUUCAUUAUUUUUAUAUUUUCUAUAUUGGCUUAGGGCCUUAAGCAAAUUUUAAAAUAUAUGGACCGGCGCUGGAUAUAGCUUAGGUUUUUAUAUAGUUAUGAUUUUAUAGUUGAUAUUUUUAUAAAAUGUUGAAUAUUAUGGUUUUUGUUUUUUUGGAACAGUCAAUUUCUUCUUGGUCUAAAAAAAUAUGGGAAAGGUGAUUGGCGUAGCAUUUCACGUCACGUAGUAUUGACAAGAACACCAACUCAAGUUGCAAGUCACGCACAAAAAUACUUCGCACGUCAUAGAGCUACGAACAGAAGCAGACAGAGACAUAACAUUCACGACGUCAACGUUUCGGAAAGCAGUAACAUCUCAGCAAUGAAAGCACCAAUCACAUGCCAAGACGCUAAAGCCGCUUCGCAACCAUCGGUAGACCAUCAAGCAUAUGAGACACCAGCCAUAUGGAACACAGAAGCCACUUCACCAACAUCACUAGACCAUCAUGUAUUUGGGACACCUACCAUAUGGAACAUGCAAGCCGCUUCGCAUCCAUCAGUGAAUGUUCCUGUCUAUGGCGCACCCACUAUCGGCCAAUCAAUGGUUGGACCAUAUGUCUUACCUUAUGGAACUGACAUGAAUCUCUUUGCGCCACCUUACAUGGCUUACAGGGCUCAACACCAUUCGACACCUUACUCCCCAGUUCCUAGUGCACCGUUCAACACAUGGACAGUUCCAGACAACAUGACAAAUAUACCUACUUCUCGUUAGGUGAGGUUGUAUUUUAUGUUUGUUUCAGAGCGUGUGAUAUGUAUAAAAAAACUUAACAUUCAAUUUGGCUUGUCGCUAACGUCAAAUUGCUUUGUUUUAUGUUUUAUGUUUUAAAUUUUUAAUUGUUUUUUUUUCUAUGAAAAAUGUGUCAUUUGGGGAUUAUAUAUAUAUAUAUAUAUACUAUUAUUUGUGAAGUGGUUUUUACGUUAAAAGUUAGACUGAUUAAUAUCGUUUAUACCCUUAAUAUAUAAUUAAUUCCAUUUAUUAUAUUAUCAAUUAUUUAUCUUUUUAUUUUUAUUAAUUUUGGAUAAUAAAAUAAUAAAUAAUUUUUUUUGAUAACGCUAAUAUAGAUUUCAAUUUCUUUUUAUUCAAGUAAUAUUCAUAAACAAAUUAUCUUUCAUAUUUUUGGAUGAUUAUUAUUAUAUAAAAACGAAAUAUAUACAAUAUUAUAUACAUGUAUUUUUCAUCCGAUCUUGUUAAAUUGAAAAAUAUAUAUUAUAUAUUUGUGUACAUAUAAUACUAAAAUUAACAUCACUAUGUUUAAUGUUCUACUGUCCAAAACAGUAUAAUAAAAUGUCACAUAAUUCUUUUUAAAAUUGUCAAACUUAAACAAACCGAACACAUCAUAAUUUUUCUUUCGAUGUGUUCUAUAAGUGUUGGUUCACAUCUAUACUAUUAUUUGCUUUGAUUAAAGAAUCUUGACUCAUUAUAUGGAUAAAGCUCAAGCAAUGUGUAAACAAUGUUAAAAAUUUAGAUAAAAUUAUGAGUGAUAUAUUCAGUUGUGUUAAAUCUUUAGUUGUAAAGUUAUGUCUUUUAUUAAAAAUUUAAUAAAUUUAAUAUGUCAUAAUUGAAGUAAUAUAGUUGAAUUGUAAUGGGCUUUGAAUUGAUAAUAUAUAAUAAUAAAUAUUUAUAAGAUGACUUUGUCCAUAUAUCUGGGUAAAAUAUCUAGUUAUAUUAUAUUUCAAUUGUUUACAAACCCUUUCUUAUGCAGUGUUACAUUUUUGCGUAUUUUAUUUAAUUUGAAAAUUAAAUUUGUUUGUAAAAAUAAAUAAUUUUAAAAUAUAGCUAACAUAUGUGUUAAUUAAUAUUGCACAUUUACAGGGUUUUCUCAGAACUUAAAAAUGGUUAUACAUAUAUGUAUUUUAGUUUACCUUGAAAUUUAUAUGAAACUUCUUUUUUUUUUGCGAAAUUUAAUGAUUGUAAAAGCCAACGUCAGUUUUAAAUAUUUUAAAGUUUUUUUUUCUGGAAUACUAUAUAUGUUUAGUAUGAAAACUACUCCAAAUUUUGAAUCAAAAUUUUACGUGAAGAAAAACUUCAAAAUAAAUUUAAUUAGAAAAACAACUCAUAAACUAAAACUAAAAUUUCAGAAAUAGAAGGGUUAAAAUGAAAUUAACUGGAAAUAAGAGGGUCUGCAUAAGUAAAUGAAAGAAAAAAAACGAUCCAGUGUGAAUCGAACAUCUCUUUGGGGGAGGAACCUCAGACGUGAGGCGUGAAGGUGAAGGAGACGAACGAGAUUGCGAUUCCUUUCCGUUACGCCGUAACUGUAAACCCUAGCUUAGAUCCUCCCCGAUUCAAGCUCAAUCCUAGCUUACAGGUUCGUCUCUCUCUCCCUUCUCCUUAGAUCUACUCCAGAAUCAACCUUCUCGAUUGGUUUCGGAUGCUUUGAACGGUUGACACUAGGCAGAUUCUUGUAGAUUUCUCGAUUCCAAUUGCGAUUCGUGUUGAAUUCGAUUACUAGUCUGAUUCUGUAACGUUUGUGCAGAAGUUUAGAUCACUGACGGCGACCUAGGGUUUUCGUUUCGAGAUGUCGAGCUUUCGCGUGGGAGGGAAGGUAGUGGAGAAGGUUGACUUGUGCAGGAAGAAACGCUCGGCGUGGCGUUUGGAUGUUUGGCCGUUUGCGAUUCUGUACGCCACGUGGUUGACUACGAUCGUGCCUAGCUUAGACUUCACUGAUGCUUUGAUCGUGUUUGGUGGCCUUCUUGCUUCCCACAUCUUGGUUUUGCUUUUCACUAUGUGGUCUGUGGAUUUCAAGUGUUUUGUCCAGUUUAGCAAGGUAAACCUCAUCACUCUUGUGGAUGCUUGUAGAUUUUUUCUUGAGUGAAAGGUUUAUGAUGGCCUUGUGUUGUGCCUGUGUGUUGAUUCGCAGGUUAACAGUAUCAGCCAGGCGGAUGCGUGUAAAGUCACACCAGCCAAGUUUUCUGGGUCUAAAGAAGUUGUGCCUCUUCAUUUUCGUAGCCAAGUAAGCUCAUUUGAGGUUUUAGAUUCAGUUGUUAAGCUGCCACUAAGAUAGGCUCCGUGAAUGGUUUGGCUUUUAAACUGGUUUUAGACUGCUUUUAUGACUUAAUUUAUGUAAAGUUCAGUGUCAACACACUAUGUCUCUGCGGAAAAUAAUGAAUUUAUACCACAUACUAUUUGAAUCCUCUUUAGCCUGGAAAUGCUUUGAGUUUUUCCAGUACUCUUACUUAUCAUGUUCUAACAGUUAAGUCUUUUGACGUUUGCAGAUGACUGGUUCGUCAUCCUCUGGAGACACGGAAGAAAUAUUCUUUGACUUCAGAAAGCAGCGUUUUAUGUACUCGAAAGAGCUGGGAGCCUUUUCCAAGCUUCCUUACCCCACAAAGGAAACAUUUGGUCAUUAUCUCAAAUGUACUGGUCAUGGUACGGAAGCUAAGGUCGCAACAGCCACUGAGAAGUGGGGAAGGAACGUGUAAGUCGACUUAUCACUUUCUAUACAUGUAUAUAUCAUAUUCACAAGAUCAUAUUAUGGUCGAUAAUUGAAGCUUUUUAUUAGCAAUUCCUUUUUGCGUGUCUCGUAAUUUCUGCUAUCAGUUUUUCUUUUUAUGUGUCUGACUAACUUUUCUUUCUAAUCAUUUCUCGUUCUGAAUGUAUAUCCAGAGCGUGGUUGUUCUUUUAUCUGGUUUGAUACUUUUUUCUGCUUCUCGCAGAUUUGAUUAUCCGCAACCUACAUUCCAGAAGCUAUUGAAAGAAAACUGCACGGAACCAUUUUUCGUAUUUCAGGUGUUGUUUUCUUGAUAAUGCAUGUAUCUUACAGUUCUUUUUCUUCUUCCACGGCUCUGUUGCUCUAAGUACUGCGUUUCUUCCUCUUUAUUCAGGUUUUCUGUGUGGGUCUUUGGUGCUUGGAUGAAUUCUGGUAUUACAGUGUGUUCACACUAUUCAUGCUUCUCAUGUUCGAGUCAACAAUGGCAAAAAGUCGCUUGAAGACAUUAACCGACCUAAGACGUGUUAGGGUGGACAGUCAGACUGUGAUGGUUUAUCGAUGCGGGAGGUUUGUGAUUUAAUAACACGCAGUUUUCCUUAAAGAUCGCUUCGGUAUUACUGCUGUGUCUGAAAAUGUCAAAUUUUAGGUGGGCGAAGCUCUUAGGCACUGAUCUACUGCCAGGAGAUGUUGUAUCUAUUGGGAGGCCGUCUACCCACACUGGAGGGGAGGAUAAGACAGUACCAGCCGACAUGCUUUUACUUGUAGGAAGUGCUAUCGUAAAUGAAGCCAUUUUGACAGGCGAGUCAACUCCCCAGUGGAAGGUACUUUCGUUCCUCAACGUCAUUUUUGUUUGUUGGCUUCUUUUCCAAAUUAUUGCUCUCUGGAUUUUGGAUUUGAAGAGUUCAGAAUUGUAACAGUGCACAAAUGAUAAAUUUGGUCCAUCUUAUUUGCUAUUUCUCAUAAGCAGCUUCUCUUACAAUACGUGUGAUAGUUUCUAGCACCUUGUUUGAAACUUUGAUCGUAAUUAUUAACUAGCGAGCAAUACUUACUUCACAAUAGGUAUCCUUGUAUAAUAUGGUCCAUAUGUUUUGCUGAGAUUGUAUGAUGGAUAUUAUAGGUUGCAAUUGCUGGCGAGGGAUCUGAUAAGAAGUUAUCGAUCAAGAGGGAUAAAAAUCAUGUUUUAUUUGGCGGGACCAAGAUCUUACAACAUUCACCUGACAAGGUAAUUCCGUAUCAACAAUUUCAACAAUUUAUUCUUCAGUGCUUGCUCCUAACUUGUGUUUCAUACUAUUUGAUAUUUGGGGUCAGACAUUCCCUCUGAAAACCCCUGAUGGUGGCUGUCUAGCUGUUGUUCUCCGAACUGGAUUUGAGACAAGCCAAGGAAAGCUAAUGCGGACAAUUUUAUUUUCUACAGAGAGGGUAUGGGAUCUUUCCGAUGUUUUUUGUUGUUUCAUUUGCACCAUGUUAAGAAUUUUAUUUGUUCUGAUCCUUUUGGUAAAAACACUCAGGUUACUGCAAACAGCUGGGAGAGUGGUCUGUUCAUAUUAUUUCUAGUUGUGUUUGCCGUGAUAGCUGCGGGCUAUGUUCUUGUAAAGGUACGGCAAUAUUUGUUUCAGGUUCUUAUUCAAAUAAUAUGUCUAUGUAUACUAGUUAUGAGGAAUCUACUUUGCAGGGUCUCGAGGAUCCUACAAGGAGCAAAUAUAAGCUCUUGCUAGGCUGUUCAAUUAUCAUCACCUCAGUGAUCCCGCCAGAAUUGCCUAUGGAAUUAUCCAUUGCUGUCAACACGUCAUUACUUGCUCUUGCACGUCGUGGGAUCUUUUGCACAGAGCCUUUUAGGAUUCCUUUUGCCGGGAAGGUAGUAUCUGUUAUACCUUAUUUUGCUAUUCGAUUAAGAACUCUUUAUCUUGAGCGAGCGACACCCUGCAAGGAAUUAGUUGUCUUAUUAGUGUUACCCUUUUUCUUUAAUGACAGGUCGAUUUGUGCUGUUUUGAUAAGACUGGUACACUCACGUCAGAUGACAUGGUAAGUUUAAGUGAAGCUCUUGGUAUAUGCUUGCUUGAUUUUGUUUAUGGUAAACUCAUUUUUAUUUGCUGCUACAUAGGAAUUUCGUGGAGUUGGGGGCUUGGCUGAUGGUGAAGAAGCAGAGACUGAUAUGAGCAAGGUUCCCGUACGCACAUUAGAGAUUUUGGCGUCGUGUCAUGCUUUAGUCUUUGUAGACAACAAGCUGGUAUGAGCAACUCAAUUUCUUUUCUGUUUUUGGUUUAGAGCAACUCAAUUUACUGUUAUAAGUUUUGAUGUUGUUCCUGUUUUGAGCUGUGCAAAUUUUCAUUUUUGUGCAAGUCUUUGAUUUUCCGUCUAUAGACUCUGUUGAUACACGCACAUAUGUUUUUAUUAAAUCUGACAAUGGAUUCCAUGUUACACUUAAUAAGUUUUAAAUUAAAGUGUAUAUAGUACACAUGUGAUGCAUGAUAAUUUUACUUAUGCUUUGCUUUUGCAUCAUUAGUCAUCAUUACGAAAUUCUGUCAUGCUUUACUCUGUUUUUCAAUACUUACACUUUUUCAAUACUUACAGGUUGGUGAUCCUCUUGAGAAGGCUGCACUUAAAGGAAUUGACUGGAGUUACAAAUCUGAUGAAAAGGCGUUGCCGAAAAGGUAACUAUUGUCACUUUUAUUAAUCUCGUAUUCUUUUGUUCUCAUACUUUGUGUACGGUGCCUAUUUAGCCCUGUGAUUACCGUGCAUAGAUUUUGAGAUGAAAGGCUAAUAUAAGGAUACGUACUGCUACUGCAUUAGAUAUAAUGGUUUCUUCUUUGUUUAUGGUUUUAUGAAAAAAUGAAAAAAUGAUGUCUACCUGUGAAGCAGUUGACUAAGGGAAUACGGGAACUAAAGCUCACAUAGAAAAUGUUAACUGAUAGUAUUACAUUACCUGAGAUACUGCGAUAGGCUCUGCUUCAAUGUUUUUUCACAUUCUGCGUCUCGGCAUCAUGAGUACCUAUCAUUUUCUUUGAAGCUAAUACAUAUAUAUACACCUUAAUGGUUUCGCCGUGUGCACACAUACGAAGAAGAUUGAUUCUAAUUGUCCUAUUUUAUCCGCUGCAGAGGAAAUGGCACCUCGGUGCAGAUAAUGCAGAGAUACCAUUUUGCUUCGCAUCUGAAGAGAAUGUCAGUUAUCGUUUGUAUUCAGCAGGAAUAUUUUGUGUUUGUGAAGGUCUGCUUGAUACAUUAUUUUCGUUGGCUAAAUUUUAUCAGUAAAUCCAGAUCUAAAUGCUUAUAUUUCACUUAUCAGGGUGCCCCAGAGACCAUCCAAGAUAGACUUGUGGAUGUGCCAGCAGCAUAUAUCGAAACAUAUAAGAGAUACACACGCCAAGGAUCUCGAGUUCUGGCCCUUGCAUUUAAACGACUUCCUGAUAUGACGGUAGUUACGCAUGCUCUGACUCAUGAACCUGUUGGCUUCUUGAAAAAACUUGACGCAUGUCAUUUUAGCUAGAUAGUUGUGUCACUGAUACGCUUUACACUUGCAGACGUAGAGAAUAGAAUUCACUGCUCAUCUAUUUGACGUUGUUUGUGAAUCUCUAAAUUUAUGUCAGAAGUCUUGCGUUCUUUGGUCUUAUGGUGAAAUAGUUAGUUAUCUGUUUGUUCUUAUGUACUUAAUAAUAUUAACAUCCAUCACUUUUUUGUUAUGGAUUAUGCAAGCUUCUGCUGAUUAGCUUUAAGAUUUACUUAACGAGUAUUUUAAUGUUGACCAGGCCAGUGAAGUUAGAGACAUGGACCGAGAUGCUGUUGAGAAUGACCUUACUUUUGCUGGGUUUGCGGUAAUGGCAUAGAAUGCAUUUUGCUCUUAUGAAGCUUUACUUUCUUCGUUUUUGUAAAUUGUAAACGAUGGUCUGGUAUCGAAAUUGUUUCCUAAUGGUUUAUAAUGCAUCACAGGUCUUCAAUUGCCCCAUUAGAUCAGAUUCAGCUACCGUUCUUUUAGAGUUGAAGAAUUCAUCCCAUGACUUGGUAAUUUACUGUGUUCUUAUAAUGCAAACAGACUCGGGAAUUAGGGGGCCUCUUUUUUUCCACUCAGUACAAAUUGCCUGCAAAGCAGCUAUCUCAGACUUGAGUAUAGCUUGUUUUUUUAAUUCCAUUUUUCAGUCGCCGUGUUUUUUUUCUUGCAAAGGUGCUCGUUCUUUCUUUAAUAAUUAGAUACACGGGAUGUCUUAUCCUACUUCCAUGAUUUUAGGUGAUGAUUACAGGUGAUCAGGCAUUGACAGCUUGUCAUGUUGCAAGCAAAGUGCAUAUUGUAUCAAACCCAGUCUUAAUUCUUAGCCAAUCAAGGCCUGGAGCUGAAUAUAAGUGGAUGUCACCUGAUGAGAAGGAGAUCAUACCCUACAGGUGUAGUAUUAAUCACAUUUACUGUAUAACUAAUGCAACUUCGUAUCCUCAUCUUGUACAAGCUUAGGUAUUCACAUGAUACCAACAGUAUAUGUUGUGACACAAGUCUCCAUGGUCUUUUCUUUUUCUUCUUGCUUCUGACUGAGAUAGGAUGACAUGGUUUUUGUUUACAGUGACAAAGAGAUCGAAACCCUUGCUGAAACGCAUGAUUUAUGCAUUGGAGGAGACAGCAUUGAAAUGCUACAGGCUACAUCGGCUACUGUGAGAGUCAUUCCAUUUGUUAAAGUAAGCAUAUCUUGUAAUCUCUUUAUCACUUGAUUUAUUAUUUCUAAAUAAUAGAGCCCGACUCUUUAACCAUUUCUCCUUUCAGGUUUUUGCGAGAGUUGCUCCACAGCAGAAGGAGCUAAUCUUAACCACCUUUAAAGCGGUAGGAAGGGGAACUCUGAUGUGUGGGGACGGGACAAAUGAUGUUGGAGCAUUGAAGCAGGUAACGCAUAUAGAAAUUCAUUUGGAAGAUUGAGGUUUAGCUUUUUAGAUGUCAGGCGAAUGAUACAUAUGCUUUAUUCUCUUUCUUUCUUUUGAUUGUAUUUUUGUUGUUCACAAUUCCAGGCCCAUGUUGGAGUUGCCUUACUGAAUACUGUCACUCCCUCGGAAUCGUCUAAAGAUGAUCCUAAGUCGAAGUCAAAAAAGCCAAAACAACCAUCAGAACCAGCUAGCAAAACCGCAAUUCAGAAUGGAGAAGGAUCGUCAAAGGCGAAGGCCCCACCCCAAAACCGCCACUUAACUGCUGCGGAAUUGCAGAGACAAAAGUUAAAGAAGAUGAUGGAUGAACUAAACAGUGACGAAGGUGAUGGCCGGUCAGCACCCGUGGUAAAACUCGGGGAUGCAUCAAUGGCAUCUCCCUUCACAGCAAAACACGCGUCGGUUGCUCCAGUGACGGACAUAAUCCGACAGGGUCGCAGUACACUAGUGACGACUCUUCAGAUGUUCAAAAUUCUCGGUCUCAACUGUCUCGCCACAGCUUAUGUACUAAGUGUUAUGUACUUGGAUGGUGUGAAGCUCGGUGAUGUCCAGGCAACAAUCAGCGGCGUAUUAACAGCUGCGUUUUUCCUCUUCAUAUCCCACGCUCGACCGCUUCAAACCCUCUCUGCAGAGCGACCCCACCCGAGUGUCUUCUCCGUGUACCUCUUCCUCUCUCUCCUUGGACAGUUCGCUGUCCACAUAACCUUCUUGAUCUACUCCGUGAAGGAAGCUGAGAAACACAUGCCCGAGGAAUGCAUCGAACCAGACGCCACGUUCCAUCCUAACCUGGUGAACACGGUGUCGUACAUGGUGAGCAUGAUGCUUCAGGUGGCGACUUUCGCUGUGAACUACAUGGGACACCCCUUUAACCAGAGUAUCAGAGAAAACAAACCUUUCUUCUACGCGCUCAUCGCUGGAGCAGGGUUCUUCACGGUGAUUGCAUCUGAUCUGUUCAGGGACCUGAACGAUUCGCUAAAGCUGGUGCCUCUGCCUGAAGGUAUGAGGGAUAAGCUUCUCCUCUGGGCUUUGCUUAUGUUCGUCAUCUGCUACUCGUGGGAGAGGUUGCUCAGGUGGGCUUUCCCUGGUAAGAUUCCUUCGUGGAAGCAUAAGCAGAGAAGUGUCACUGCGAAUCUGGAGAAGAAGAAGAAGGUAUGAUCAGAAGAGCCAGACAGGGUUAUAGGUUCAGGUAAAACAAUCAAAAAAUACAAUUUUAACUCCGAGAGAGAUGUUGGGUUUUGGGAUCUUGUUUUUGCUGAAGCUUUGAAGACAUGAGCAUAGGUCUCUCUGGUUAAGACAUUUGGUUCUCAUUUCUUAACUUUGUUUUUGGUUACUCUCUAAGAAGAAGAAGCGCACAUUUCUCAAAUACUUGAAUUAAAAUGUAAGGGGUUUACAUUAGUCUCUACCUCUUGUUCCUUGCUUCCAUUUUAUUUCGUUUCUCAGUUCUGUUUAGAGGAUCUGAAAACUUGUAUGCCUGUUUUCGAAACAUUAAAUCAGACUUGAGACCUGUUACACUGCUAGACUAAUAAAUUGAAACCAGUCAAAACGAUUAGUGUCUAACGUUCUGAUUUCGCCUUAUUAUAUAAGCGUGAGUAAUACUGUGGCUUCGAAUGGUGAUGAAACGCCUGAAACGCCCUGCAACCGCUCCGCUGUGAGUACUAUAUAUUUUUGUUACUAUUACAACUGCUUGUUUCGCAGUUGUCCCGCACGUCUCUGAAUGGUGCCCGUGUGUGAAGGUGCACGUUUGCUAGACUGUCUGGUUCACUAUACCUUUGGCUGCUAAACCGUCUGGUUCUGUUAGGCCAACGACACUAUUCUCUCUUCCUAGUGGUAAAACCACUCUGAAAAAUAAAAAAAAGAAAUAUUUUACCAAUAACGGCGGCAAAUACUGAAAAGGGAGAAGCAGAUAAGUAUUAUUUAGGGAUUUUAGCGGUUUUAGGGCUCUCCUCAACAACCACUAUCGACAGCUAUUGUUUUCAAUUUCCUCUACUUUGUCUGGUUCGUUCGUCUCGCCCACCUCCUCGAUCCUAAAGGUGCCGCCUCUCUCAUCUCAAAAUCUCUCGAUUUAAGCCUUCUCUGUUUUCAAUUUUAGAUCGCGAUUAAUCCCCGGCGUUGAUUUUUACUUGUAGCUUGAAAUGUGAAUCGCUAGAGCCUAUGUAAGAUGUCUGAGAAGAAGCUUCGUCCCAUCAAGCUGAAUCGUUAUACCAUGAUGGGAGAAGAUAACAGCUCCUCUAGGAACGCCUUGGUCAAAGUCAAGUUAGAGAAGGACAAGCACGUGUCCUCAGGCUCCUCCGGGAAAGCCAUUGUCACAGUCAAGCUAGAGAAGGAAGAAGAAGAAGAGGGCUUUCAUCAUGUAACUAGAAGCGUCCUGAAAAGAAAACAACUCUCUCAAUCACUAGAUAACAGCUCUCUCGUUGCAGUCAAGAGUGAACACUACACCUUCGAGAAACAGAGAACCACUCGAUGGAGUACUAAUAGGUAACAAAAGACGUCGCCUUUAACAUCAUUCACACUUACCCUUUAUAUAAAGUCGAGUCCUUUUGUAGGGUUGAUUCUGCGGAGCAAGCAAUGGAGGAUGUUUUGAAAGAGGUUGGUGCUUCUUUCGAGAAGCCUAUCUCACGAGGCGAGUUAAGAGCCAUAGCUCGGAAGAGAAUCGGUGAUACUGGGCUGUUGGAUCAUUUGCUGAGGCAUAUCGAUGGGAAUGUGACACCUGGCGGUGCUGAUCGGUUUAGGAGGUGUUACAAUACCGAAGGAGCCAUGCAGUAUUGGCUAGAGAGUGCUGAUUUGCUUAAAGUGAAAUGCGAGUCUGGUGUUCCUGAUCCUAACUGGGUUCCUCCUCCUUGGUGGAAGCUUCAGGGUGUGAUUAAACUUGAGCCUGGGGAUUGUGAACCGUCCUUUAAUCUUAAGGAAGCAAUUGAUCAAAUGAAGAGGUACUAAUGGUUGCAAUGUUUGUUGUGUUUUGAAGUUGAGAUGUGUUUUGAAAUGACGUUUUCUUUGUGGGGGUGUGCAGUGAUAUUAAGGAGCUUGUGGCUGAUGUGGCUCACAUUAAGCGUGAAUCUGGAGUUCCUGAUACUGAUUUGAUUCCUUUAUCUCAAUGGAAGAUUAAGAGAUCAGCGCAUGAGUCUCCUUUAUCUCAAUCUUCUGCUGUCUCUUCAAAGCUUAGGGAAGAGAUUGAUAAAAUGAAGAGGUAUUAUGCUUUCAAUAUUUUCUUUGUUUGAAGUCAAGGAGGUGUACUUGUAAUCUUAUUUUCUUUGCUUCUAAUGCAGUGAUAUCAAGAACCUUGUAUCCAAGCCAAAGUUACCAGAUCAUGCUGAUGCAAAUGAGGUGACCUUUUGAGAUUCAUUUUUGCUUGUUUGCUUAAGGAAUGUGUGAAGUUAGAGACGCAAAACUGUUAUGUUUGCAUUUUUUUUUUCUAGAAACGAUUCACGGAAUGUAUGAAGUGGAAGGUAGAGACUGAUAAGAAAAUUGCAGAGAUCUCAACUUCACUGACUUCAACACAGGUUCAGACCCAAAACAAGUAAACAGUAUUUGUUUGAAUCUUCUUGCCUAGGGAUGUUUUAACUUAGUGAAGCUUUUGUCUACUUUCUUCGGUUGCAGAGCAUGGUUAAGGAACUAACUUCAUGGAAAGAUAAAGUAGAACAUCAGCUGGUGGGAAUUUCAAGCUCGCAGAACAAUCUGCAGGCAAAUGGGAGCAAAUCUCCUCAUAAUUGGGAACAUCUAUUGCAUAGUACCAACUUGGAUGACUUCACAGUGAAUGGUUUUGAUCCAUGGGAUGUUGAAGCUGACCUUACCGAUGUUCUUCCACCAAAUGCUCGCAAAAGCUCUUUCCAAGAUCAUAUGUGGUUUGAGGAACAGUCAGUGCUCAACUCCGAGAUGCAAAGGACGGAGAGGUUAGAACUGUUGCUUUGUUUCUAGGUUAGGCUUUAUGGUUUUAUAUGGUUGUUUAAUGUUUUUGCUUCCUUGUUUAUCUGUAUGACCAGAGGUGAUUCCAGAAGCUCCAAUCAAGACAAAGCAGAGUUGACUCCAGGUUCUUCAGUGACUGCAGGUCCAAGAUCAGAUAUUGACGACCCAACUAUUCUGUCUCAGGUAACAAAUUAGAAACAUUGAUUUGGAUGAUUAUUUUAGGAAAAUCUGAUAGCCUAGAUGUCAACCACCCUCCCAUCUUCUUACAGCCUUUGCUUCAUUCACUACUACACAUUGAUUUAGUUUACAUGCAAUUUUGCCAAUGUUUCACAUGAUGUUAAGGAGUCAUUAUUUGAGAAUCUCAUCAUGUGUUUUUUUUUGUUCAGGAAACAUUGAAAGAGUUGGUGAGUUGGAAAGCCAAAGCGGAGCAGCAGCUAAUGGAAAUGUCAGACGCUGUCCGUGCUCUUCAGGGAUAGAGAGUCAAACACACUAGGCCACAUGAAUGAUAGAUUCACCUACAUAGAAUCCCUUUGGAGACUUCUUGUACAGGGUUUCUGCGAUAACUUGAACAAAGAAAAAAAGGAAACAAUGAGAGUAGAGAUUAGUAGGUUUCUGGAAAGUCAAGGGAACAGGUAGUAGAAGAAGUGAUCCUCUUUACCUAAAUGUGUUAUUGAAGUUAGAGACAAGGCUUUAAUAGUAGUUGUUGCUGUAUAUUCUCUCUGACUACUCUUAUUCAACAAGGAAGGUUUUGAGUAAUCUUUUUUCUUUCUCAUCAUCUUUCUGCUAUCUGAUUAACUUAUCUGCUAAUUAAUCAAAAUAGGUACUAAUCCCUUUCGUGUUCUCUCAUAUCAUAUGAAGAUAAAAAGCAGCUUGGUCUAAGACAAUAAGCAGCUUAGUCUAAGACAAUAAGCAGCUUAAUGACCUCCUCCAAAAUAGAAGUUUCCAUUAAAAUGUUAAAACUUAAAAGCAUAGAGAGAGAGAGUUUCACAAAACAUGACUCAAGAAACCAUUCUUAUUUUUCAUUUAUUCAUUAGUCUUCCAAAAUCUAAAAGUUGAUUGGAAAGAUAUUGUUUAACCAGAACCGGCCGGUUUGUGGUUUAAAUUGACAAUAAUAAUAGUGGGCCUAGUUAGGCCUCAAGCCCACUUAAAACCUUUAAAGCGACGUCAUUAGACUAUAAACGACGUCGUAAGGCUAAUAAAGAGCUUAAACUCAAAAUCUCCCAGCAAGUUCAGUUCCAUCUUCUUCAAUCCACGACGAAUCACGCGAUCGAUUGAUUCCUCCUCCUCCUCCUCUUCGACUCCAUAUCCCUCACAGGUAAAAAUCGUUUUCUCAAGCACUAUACUUUCUCUAUUUCUCGGAUUGUCCUUGCUCGAAGUAAACUUCCAACGAUUCGUAUGGUUUUCACUUUAAUUCGAGAUGUAAUGUUUUGAGCCAAUAUAAUUUUAGGGGUUUGUUAUAAUAUUCGUUAAUGUUUAAGAUUAGUUCAUAAUAGCCUUUAAGAACCUUGAACGAGAGACUUUUUUUUUUUGAAUAUACUGCAUUUUGCUGUUAAUUUCUUGUUAGAUUAUUUAAGUUUAAUAUUCUGAUUCGUGGCUACGUUUAAUAGCAAUAAAGAUAACUCCUUUGUGGUUUUGUGCAAUAGAAGAAUGGAGGGUUUUGUGGAUCACUAUAUAGUUCUUGGCUUACCCCUCUGGAGAGGAAGCUCUGAAGCUUAGCGAGAAGGAGAUUACGAAAGCUUACAAGUUGAAAGCUUUGGUCUUGCAUCCAGAUAAAACGCCCUGAUGAUCCCAACGCUCACGAGAAGUUUCAGAGGGUCAAGACAUCUUACGAGGUUCUCAAAGAUGAGAAGGGACGGAAGCUGUUUAAUGAGCUUCUUAGAAUCCAGCGCGAGAAACAGGAGAAGAAAUAUCAAGUGGAUUCCAAGAGGAGGAAAGGGAGCGUUCUGGUUUUGCUCCUACUCGUGCGGCUAGGGGUUGUGAUGAAGAGGAGAGGAUUGCGAGGAAGGUUAAGGAGGAGGUGGAUAGGAUACGUGCGGUGUAUGCGAAGAAGAGAGGUGGGUUUGAAACCCCGGAGAGUGGUGGUGUUGAUGGGAAGAAAAAAGAAAAUAGAAGUAGAGCUGGUGCUGGUGUUCAACUUGAUAAAGAGAGAGGGUUGAAGGUUUCUUGGGAUACAACUGGUGAAGGUUAUACAGUGGGGAGGCUGAGAGAAGUGUUUGGUGGCGUUGAAGAUGUUGUCAUCAGGAGUACUAAAAAGAAAUGCUCUGCUCUUAUUGUAAUGGCUACAAAAUGCUGUAAGUUGUUAACUUGGUUUCUCUCGUUUUUUAUGUCAAUAAUCUAGUAGUGGUUUAUUUCAUUUUGUUUUUAUUUUCUCUCUUGUAGGUAGCAGCGACUAGAACAUUGUGUGGUGAUCUCUCUAAUCCAUUGCUGGUUGUACCUCUUCAGAGAGCCCAAACCGAUUUCGUGACCGCUGAGAAAACUUCAGAAGUAGAACCGCAGAGCAAUUGGUAUUGGUUAUCAAGCUUAUGAAGACCAGGUCAUGGAAAGACUGAGAAAGGUAUUUCUACUCAAAUUCAUGUUGUUUGGUGUUUAGUGUUUAAUCUCUAGUGUUCAAUGUUUAGUGUUUAAAUUUUGAUGUUUAGGGUAGUGGUUACGGUUUUUAAUUGAAUUUUUUCUUUAAAAACUCUGAUAUAUAUUACUUUUUCAUGUUGAAUAAUAGGCGGGUAUGAACCAGAAACGAUAAUGGAGCAAGGCCAAAGUGAAAGUGGUCGUCCCUCACAGCCUCGUUGAACAAGGUUUUGCGUACAUCCAAAGUCAUAUCAAUUAUUUUGAAGAAAACACACACAACGUGUUGAAAAUAUAUAAUUUAUAUUUUGCGAUAUAUAUUAUUCAAGUUUGAGAGAAACAGGCAGUGUAAUGCGAUCAUCUGAACACGUUUUGCCAUUAUCCAGUGUCCUAGGAAGCGAGCACGUAGAUACCUACUAUACAUAAAAAUAUUUACUUGAUUUUAUUGGUCAAUGAAAAGUUAAAUUAAUUCAUAUAUAUCUGUAACAGCUAAUUAUGUUUUGCUAGUGAUUAUAUUUUCAUUUGCCCAAUAAAAGUGGUCUCUCUUCAAAUUCAAGUCGGUUUCUUUCCUUACUAUUUUCUUCUUCCUCUGCUUAAACAGAAAAGUCAGGCUCUCAGACUAUGGCCAGCGAGUCAAGAACCAGAUGGGUUUUACCUUACCGGACCAAGAACUUGAAAGACGAUUACUUACUUGGUCGUGUGCUCGGACAAGGACAGUUUGGAACCACUUUCCUCUGUUCCCAUAAGGAGACUGGUCAAAAGCUUGCCUGCAAAUCCAUACCUAAGAGGACGCUCCUUUGUCAAGAAGAUUGCGACCAGGUUUUGAGGGAGAUCCAGAUAAUGCAUCACUUGUCUGAAUACCCCAACGUUGUCCGGAUACACAGCACGUACGAGGAUGCUACUAGCGUGCACCUUGUGAUGGAGCUUUGCGAAGGUGGUGAGUUGUUUGAUAGAAUCGCGGAGAAAGGUAAUUACAGUGAGAGAGAUGCUGCUAAGGUUAUCAAGACUAUUGUUAGCGUCGUUGAGGCUUGUCACUCUCUUGGUGUUAUGCAUAGAGAUCUUAAGCCUGAGAACUUCUUGUUCUCUUCUGAUGAUGAAGAUGCUUCUCUUAAAUCUACAGACUUUGGCGUCUCUGUUUUCUGCGAACCAGGUCUGAUUUUGAUUCUUUCCUCCUUUGCACAUCCUUCUCCUUCUCUGGUUUCGUCCAUGAUUGUGUUGUUGGACACUGUGUCAUUGAACCCUUGCUUAAAGAACUUGUUGUGACUGUGAGUUUUUUUUGUUUUUGUCAGGCACAACGUUUUCAGAACUUGUUGGAAGUGCCUACUAUGUAGCACCUGAAGUGUUACUUAAGCAUUACGGCCGUGAAUGUGACGUAUGGAGCGCUGGAGUUAUCCUCUACGUUCUGUUAUGUGGUUUUGCUCCUUUCGAUGCUGGUCAGAUUCUUUCUUUCUCUUUAAAGAUAUGUAUAAUCGCAGCGUGUUCACGCUCUCAUCUCAUGUGUCCUAUUUUGUAACCAGGAACUGAUAAUGGGAUCUUUAGAGAGAUUUUACUGGGAAAGCUGGACUUUGAGACCGAUCCUUGGCCUAGCAUUUCAGAAAGUGCCAAGGAUCUUACAAUGAAAAUGCUCGAGAGCGAUCCAAAGAAGAGACUAACUGCUCAUCAAGUCUUGUGUAAGCUCUCUUGCUUGUUGGGUUUAGCUGCUAAAGAUGAUGUAUAAUAGUGGUGAUUCAUGUGUUCUUAUAUUCUCAGGUCACCCAUGGAUUGUGGAUGAUACGGUUGCUCCAGAUAAACCAUUGGACUUUGCAGUAGUGUCUCGCUUGAAAAGGUUCUCUGCAAUGAACAAACUUAAGAAGAUGGCUUUACGCGUAGUUGCAGAGAGACUAUCUGAGGAAGAAAUUGGUGGGCUCAAAGAACUGUUCAAGAUGAUAGACAGAGACAACAGUGGGACCAUCACGUUUAAAGAGUUGAAAGAUUGUAUCAGACGUGUUGGGUCAGAGCUUGUGGAAUCAGAGAUCCAAGAACUCUUGCAAGCAGUAAGUAGCAACUCUCUUCUUAUUGUCAACUUUCACUAUUCAGUCUUAUCUAAUACCAUAUUAUGAUUGUGUGUGUGUAUUAGGCUGAUGUUGAUGGGAGUGGAACAAUUGACUAUGGAGAGUUUUUGGCUGCAACAAUCCACUUGAACAAGCUGGAGAGAGAGGAGAAUCUAGUGGCUGCAUUCUCUUUCUUUGACAAAGAUUCAAGUGGCUGCAUCACUCUGGAAGAACUCCAACAGGCUUGGAAGCAGUUUGGUAUAAAAGAUUCAAAUCUUGAUAAAAUGAUCAAAGACAUCGACCAAGACAAUGUAAGAUAGAUCUUUUACUGUUUCCUUGUGAAGUAGCUGAGAGGAAGUUUAAUGGUGUUUGAUUCUUGUAGGAUGGACAAAUAAACUAUGGAGAGUUUGUGGCAAUGAUGAGGAAAGGAAAUGGCAAUGUUGGGAUCAGCCGGAGAACAAUGAGGAACACACUCAACUUUGAGAAUUUUCUUCCUGAAUGAAUGACUAAACUUUCUGUUUCGGUUUUAAAACCAGUUAUGUUUUCAAUAAAACCAAUUAUGAGGAGUGUAAUUGGAAUCAUGCUCUUAACAAUUAUCAAUUGUUGAUCUUGCCAGUUUUUGUUUUUUUUGGGUAUCAUUGUUCUUACCAGUUAGCAGAGGUUCUCUGUUACAAAAUGGUGUUUGGACUUAAUGUGUCUUGAAAUGUUGAAUUUAAUAACUUUACCGAUACAGUUUAACAAGUAAAAACAAAAACAAAAAGAAAUUAAGAAACUAUAACUUAGUUUAGAGAGAGGGAGAAAAUAUUAGUUUUUCUUCUUUACCAGUGGGUCAAGCAUUUCCUCAAAAUGCAUCUUCUCAACUCCUUCCUCUCCUCUUCAAGCCCAUUUUGAACAUUCAAAGUAGCCCAUUUUAAACCUUCAAAGCGACCCACUUAAAACUAUAAACGACGUCGUAUAUGGAGGUUGAGAAAGAGCAUCUAAUUCAAAAAUCUGAAGCAAGUUCCAUCUUCUUCAAUCCACAACGAAUCACGCGAUCAAUUGAUCCUUCUUCUUCAACAGGUACCUCGAUUUCUCAUGCGCGAGAGACUUUCUCUAUUCCUCCGAUUGCUCUUGCUCGAAUGAAUCCAGUUCUAGUGUUCCGCUUUGAUUACUAGAGUUUUUCACUCUAAUUCGAAACAGUUUUGAUCGGAUUUGUAUAUCUCAAUCCAAUAGAAUUUGAGGUUUUUAUAGUGUAAUAUCCAUUGAUGUUUAAGGUUAGUUCGAAACCUUUUUUUGAAUAAACUGCUCUGAAAUUGAGAAAAGCUUCUUCACCAAGAUUAGCAAAGGUCUCUUUAACAUAUUCAAGUUUACAAUUUUGAUUGGUGGGUAGGGUUUAAUUGCACAGAAGAAGAGGAUAGAGAUUAGAGAGAGAGAUGGAUGGUUUUGUGGAUCAUUAUAUAGUUCUAAGGGUUAUCCUCUGGAGAGGAGAAACUCUGAAGCUUACCGAGAAGGAGAUUUCUAAAGCAUACAAGUUGAAAGCUUUGGUCUUGCAUCUGGGUAAAUGUCCAGAUGAUCUGAUCUUAUUAUUGUAAUGGCUACAAAAGAAGAAGCUGUGAGUAUCAACUUGGUUUCUUCUCUCGUUUUUUUUUUGUUAUAUGUCAAAAAAAUCAAAUGGUGGAUUACUUCUUUUUACGAGAACAUUGUGUAGUGAUCUCUCUAAUCCAUUGCUAGUUUUACCUCUUCAGAGAACCAAACCGGUUUUUUGACCGCCAAGAAAAAUCUACCGAAGCAGAGCAACAUGGUUGGUGCUAAUGCUCAAAAAAAGAAAGAAAAAAAGACAUGGUUGGUGAUGGUUAUCAAGCUUAUGAAAACGAUGUCAUGGAAAGACUGACAAAGGUAUUUUCUACUUAGUGUUUAGUUGUUUAUGCUUUAGUGUUUAGGGUCUAAGAUUUAAUGGUUUAUGAUUCAGGUUUUAGUGUUUAGAGUUUAAAGUUUAGUGUUUAGGUUUUAAGUUUUUUUAUUAAAUUUUCUUUUCAAAAACUCUGAUAUAUAUAUUACUCUUUUUUCUUGUAUGAACCAGAAACGAUAAUGGAAUAAGCCACAUGAUCAAGAGUUGAGCUUCUUUUAGGCCAAUGGUCCUCCCUCAUAGCCUCGUUAAACAAGGUUUUGCGUACAUCCAAAGUCAUAUCAAUUAUUUUGAAGAAAACACACAACGUGUUCAAAAUAUAUAAUUUAUAUUUUUACUCUAUAUAUUAUUCACGUUAUGGCAUGAAAUGAGACCAUCUGAACACGUUUUGCCAUUAUCCUGUGUCCUAGGAAGCGAGCACGUAGGUACCUACUAUCCAUAAACAUAUUAACUUAAUCGUUUUGGUCAAUAAAAAUAUCUGUAACAACAGGUAAUGAUUACUAUUUGAUUAUAUUUUCAUUUGCCUGAUAAAAGUGGUCUUCACUUGUCUCUCUUCAUUGCCUUUAAGUCAGUUUCUUUCCUCAUUAUCUUCUUCUUCCUCUUCUAUGGCCAGCUAGUCAAGAACCAGAUGGGUUCUACCUUACAAGACCAAGAACUUGAAAGACGAUUAUUUUCUUGGUCGUGUGCUCGGACAAGGACAGUAUGGAACCACUUUCCUCUGUACCCAUAACGAGACGGGUCAAAAGCUUGCCUGCAAAUCCAUACCCAAAAGGAAGCUUCUUCGUCAAGAACAUUUCGACCGUGUUUUGAGGGAGAUCCAAAUAAUGCAUCACUUGUCUGAAAACCCAAACGUUGUCCGGAUACAAAGCACGUACGAGGAUGCUACUAGCGUGCACCUUGUGAUGGAGCUCUGCGAAGGUGGUGAGUUAUUUGAGAGAAUCGCCAAGAAAGGUCAUCACAGUGAGAGAGAAGCAGCUAAGCUCACCAAGACCAUUGUUGCGGUCAUCGAAGCUUGUCACUCUCUUGGUGUUAUGCAUAGAGACCUUAAGCCUGAGAACUUCUUGUUCUCUUCUUGUGAUGAAGACGCUUCGAUUAAAUCUAUCGACUUUGGUCUCUCUGUUUUCUGCAAACCAGGUCUGGUUUUGAUUCUUUCUCUCCAUGAUUGUGUUGUGGGACACUGUUUCAUUGAACCCUUUCUUAAAGACCCAUGUUUUAAAUGCUUAUGUUUGUUUCUUUGUUUUUGUCAGGUUCAACGUUUUCUAAACUUGUUGGAAGUGCAUACUAUGUGGCACCUGAGGUUUUACGUAGGCAUUACGACCGUGAAUGUGACGUAUGGAGCGCUGGAGUUAUCCUUUACAUGCUAUUAUGUGGUUUUCCUCCUUUCAAUGCUGGUUAGAUUCUUUCUUUCUCUUUUGUCUUUAUAUUGCAGCGUUUCAGUCUCUCUCGUCUCAUUUGUCCUAAUUUGUAUCCAGGAACUGAACGUGGGAUCUUUAGAAAGAUUCUACAGGGAAAGCUGGACUUUGAGACCGAUCCUUGGCCUAGCAUCUCAGAGAGUGCCAAGGAUCUUAUAAAGAAGAUGCUUGAGAGUGAUCCAAAGAGAAGGCUAACUGCUCAUCAAGUCUUGUGUAAGCUUACUUAUAUGAGCUUAAUAUAGAUUCUUGCUAACGUGUGAUUGAAGUUGUCUUGUUUUGUCAGGUCACCCUUGGAUUGUGGAUGAUACGGUUGCUCCAGAUAAACCAUUGGGCUUUGCAGUAGUGUCCCGCUUGAAAAGGUUCUCUGCAAUGAACAAACUUAAGAAGAUGGCUUUACGCGUAGUUGCAGAGAGACUAUCUGAGGAAGAAAUUGGUGGGCUCAAAGAACUGUUCAAGAUGAUAGAUACAGACAACAGUGGAACCAUCACGUUUGAAGAGUUGAAAGACAGUGUCAGAUGUGUUGGGUCAGAGCUUGUGGAAUCAGAGAUCCAAGAACUCUUGCAAGCUGUAAACUAGCAACUUAACUUUCACUAUUCUUCUUAAGUUUUAUCCAACAUCAUCUUAUGAUGUGUGUGUGUGUUUGUUAUUAGGCUGAUGUUGAUGAGAGUGGAACGAUAGACUAUGGAGAGUUCUUGGCUGCAACAAUCCACUUGAACAAGCUGGAAAGAGAGGAGAAUCUAGUAGCUGCAUUCUCUUUCUUUGAUAAAGAUGCAAGUGGUUGCAUCACUGUUGAUGAACUCCAACAGGCUUGGAAGCAGUUUGGGAUAAAAGAUUCGAAUCUGGAUAAAAUGAUCAAAGACAUCGACCAAGACAGUGUAAGUGAUAUUCACUGUUUCCUAGUGAAGGAGCUAAGUCAAAGUUUGAUGGUGUUUGCUUGUUUUGUAGGAUGGAAGAAUAGACUAUGGAGAAUUUGUGGCAAUGAUGAGAAAAGGCAAUGGUGGCAGUGAUGGGAUCAGCAGGGGCACAAUGAGGAACAUUCAACUCUGGAAUUUUCUUGAUAGAACUUUCUGUUUCUGUUUUAAAAGCAGUUAUGUUUUCAAUAAAAACUAAUUAUGAGUAGUGUAAUUGGAAUCAAGCUCUUAAACAGUUAUCAAACAUUGUUCUCAGAGGUUUAGCUCUCUGGUACAAAAUGGUAUGUGGCCUUAAUAUAAUGUGUGUCUUGACAUGUGUGACAUUAAUAACUUUACCAAAGCAGUUUAACAUGUGAGAUUUAUGCGGUUUAACUUUACAAAGUGGUGACAUGUUGUAUUAGUGUUGAAUUACAAUAAAGUUUUAAUUCGAUUUAACUCACAGUAAAAAUUAUGUAGUUAUAAACCGUAGAUUUAUGUAUUGUUUGUUGUAAAAAUUUAUUAUAUUUUUAAAAUAAUUGACAGUUAAAGUUUUUGAUGUAUAAGUUGAAGUAUGUUUUAAAAAUAUGAAUAUCUGUAAUAAUAUUAUUUAUUAUAAAUUUGCUAAAAUAAACUAGAGAAACUAAAAUAAAUUAAAUUUUAAAAAUAAUUUAAUUUAAGAAAAUAUACAUAAAUAUAUGUAUAUACUAUAACAAAUGGUAUCUAUAUAUUUACAAAUAUUUUUGUGUAAAAACUUCAGUUACCAAAUAGACAGUUAAAGUUAUAGGACAAUUUCGUUUAAUAGUUUAAAUAAAAAUAUUUUGAAAUUUUAUUAAUUGAUAUUAAAAACAAGUGAAAUCAUGGUCAUGUUACAAUUUUAUAAAUUAUUGAUUUGUACUUUAUAAUGCAUAAAUUGUAUGAAAAUUAUAAAUGAUAAGAAUAAUAAUAAUAAUAAUAAUAAUAAUAAUAAUAAUAAUAAUAAUAAUAAUAAUAAUAAUAAUAAUAAUAAUAAUAAUAGCAAUUAUUACAAAUUUAAUAAGAAAAUUGAUAAAAUAAAAUAUUUUAAAUUUAAAUAACAAAAGCUAAUUAAAUAAAUAGUAAAUAUUUUUAUGUAAGCUUAUUAUUGUUACCAAACGUAAUUAACAUUUAAAAUUACAGGGACUAUUUUAUUAGACAAAUUCAAAUAAGAAGAAGUUUAUGCAAUAUUUUUCUAACAAACAAAUAGUUGUUUUUUUUUUGUUGAAGAAUUUUUACCAAUUAAAAAAAAAAGAAACAUGGGACAUAAUCUUAAAGUAACGUGGAAGUGGGAUUUUAAUUAAAAAAAAAAUUCUUAUAAACUAUUAACUCAAAAAAUGAAUACAUGGAAUUUUCUUUGAUGUUGAAUAAGUGUUUGAGUUAUCAACUUAACAAAAGAUGUAACUCAAAAUUGUAUGUCAAUUAUAACACAUAAUAACUCAAAAAAAUUGAUUCUACUUCAUGAAUGGUGGUAAUAUUUUGAGUUAUAUUAUAACUCAAACUAAAUCAUGGCUAAUGCAUGUCACCAAUCAAAGCAGUUGUUUUCUUCUUUUUCUCUGAUCAACUUCUUAUAUGUUAAUUGUUUUCUGUAAUUAGAGAAUGUUCAACAAGUUUCUGUGUUGCAUCCAAAGUCAUAUCAAUUAUUUUGAAGAAAACACACAACGUGCUGAAACUAUAUAAUUUAUAUUUUUAUCAUAUGAAACUCAAGUUUAAAAUAAAACAGGCAAAUCUGAUAUCAUGAAAUGAGAUCAUCUGACCAUGUUUUUGCCAUUAUCAUGUUGUAUGUUCUAUAUCUUAGAGCAUCUCCAAAGGCACUCUAUUUUUUCCUCUAUAAUUUACACUAAAAUAGAGUAACUCUAUUAUAGAGUUAAAUUUGCUCCAAUGGUUCACUCUAUAAUAGAGUUACUCUAUAAUAGAGUGAAAUAUAGAGUAAUCAUAUUUUUUUACUCCAAAUAUAGAGUGAAAAAACAAGAAUACUCUAUAUUUCACUCUAUUAUAGAGUAACUCUAUUAUAGAGUGAACCAUUGGAGCAAAUUCAACUCUAUAAUAGAGUUACUCUAUUUUAGAGUGAAAUAUAGAGGAAAUUAUAGAGUGUGAUUGGAGAUGGUCUUACAACUCACCAUGCUCAUUGCACAUUAUAUAUAAAAAUAUUAACUUAAUGUUUUUGGUCAAUGAAAUGUUCAAUUAAUUCAUAUAUAUCUGUAACAGCUAAUAAUUACUAGCUGACAACUUAUUCAACUAAAACAACCAAGUCAAGUAAUUAAUAACUUGCCAUUCAUUAUUCAUUUAAUGUGAAAAGAAAAGAAAAAAACUCAAAUGGGAAGCUAAUUCAAUAAAAGUUGUGUUAAAUUCCCUCUCUUCAGUUUCUUUCCUCAUUGUUUUCUUCUUCAUCUUUUCCAAAGAACAAGUCAAGACUCUGAAAACUAUGGCCAGCGAAUCAAGAACCAGAUGGGUUCUCCCUUACAAGACCAAGAACCUGAGAGACGACUACGUUCUUGGUCGUUUCCUCGGACAAGGACAGUAUGGAACCACUUCCCUCUGCACCCACAAGGAAACUGGUCAAAAGCUUGCCUGCAAAACCAUCCCCAAGAGGAAGCUCCUUUGCCAAGAAGACUACGACGACGUUUUGAGGGAGAUCCAGAUAAUGCAUCACUUGUCUGAAUACCCCAACGUUGUCAGGAUACAAGAAACGUACGAGGAUGAUACCAGCGUCCACCUUGUGAUGGAGCUUUGUGAAGGUGGUGAGUUGUUUGAUAGAAUCGCGAUGAAAGGUCAUUACAGUGAGAGAGAUGCAGCUAAGGUUAUCAAGACCAUUGUUAGCGUCGUUGAGGCUUGUCACUCUCUUGGUGUUGUGCAUAGAGAUCUUAAGCCUGAGAACUUCUUGUUCUCUUCAACUGAUGAAGACUCUUCUCUUAAAUCUACUGACUUUGGCCUCUCUGUUUUCUUCAAACCAGGUCUGGUUUUUGAUUCUUUCCUCCUUUGACUUUUGCAUAUAUUUUUUUCUCAUUUCAUCUAUGAGAUUUUGGCUCCUAUAGACAAUAUUAAGGGUUUAUAUAAUUUUCUAUAUAUAUAAAUUUGGGAACCUACGUAUAUAUGCAUUUUUUUAAUAUUUUGGGAUCUAUAUACCAAUAGUUCACUAGCCUAUGUUCAGGACCGGCUAUGUCUACGAUUGUGUUGUCGGAUACUGUUUCAUUGAACCCUUGCUUGUGUGUGUUUUGUCCACUCAAAUCUAUGUUUCUUUGUGUUCUGUCAGGUGCAACGUUUACAGACCUUGUUGGAAGUGCAUACUAUGUGGCACCUGAGGUUUUAAAUAGGCAUUACGGUCGUGAAUGUGACGUGUGGAGUGCUGGAGUUAUCCUCUACAUUCUAUUAUGUGGUUUCCCUCCUUUCAAUGCUGGUUAGAUUCUUUCUUCCACACUAGAGAUAUGUAUAAUUGCAGCGUUACCGUUACUAGGUUUGAUUCAUGUUGGGAGGGACUCUCUCAUGUCAUGUGUGUCCUAUUUUGUAUCCAGGAACUAAAUAUGGGAUCUUCAGAAAGAUUAGACAGGGUAAGGUGGAGUUUGAGACCAGUCCUUGGCCUAGCAUUUCAGAGAGUGCCAAGGAUCUUAUAGGGAAGAUGCUUGAGAGCAAUCCACAGAAAAGGCUAACUGCUCAUCAAGUCUUGUGUAAGCAGCACUUGCCUUUUGAGUCUACACUGUUAAGGAUGGUGUAUAUUAUUGCUAGUGUGUGAUUCAUAUGUUUUUAUUUUGUCAGGUCACCCUUGGAUUGUGGAUGAUACUGUUGCUCCAGAUAAACCACUGGACUUUGCAGUUGUGUCUCGCCUGAAAAGGUUCUCUGCAAUGAACAAACUCAAGAAGACGGCUUUACGCGUAGUUGCAGAAAGACUAUCUGAGGAAGAGAUCGGUGGGCUCAAAGAAUUGUUCAAGAUGAUAGACACAGACAACAGUGGGACCAUCACGUUUGAAGAGUUGAAAGACAGUGUCAGACGUGUUGGAUCAGAGCUUGUGGAGUCAGAGAUCAAAGAACUCUUGGAAGCAGUAACUAACUACUCUUUUCUUACUAUAAACUUUCGCUAAGUAUCAUCUUAUGAUGUGUGUGUGUUUGUUAUUAGGCUGAUGUUGAUGAGAGUGGAACAAUAGACUAUGGAGAGUUCUUGGCUGCAACAAUCCACUUGAACAAGCUGGAGAGAGAGGAGAAUCUAGUGGCUGCAUUCUCUUUCUUUGACAAAGAUUCAAGUGGUUGCAUCACUAUGGAUGAACUCCAACAGGCUUGGAACCAGUUUGGUAUAAAAGAUUCACAUCUUGAUGAAAUGAUCAAAGACAUUGAUCAAGACAAUGUUAGUAGUUGUUUCACAAAGUUUUUUGUCUGUUUUCUUAUGAUGGAGCUAACAUGAAUGUGAAUGGUGUUUGCUUCUUGUAGGAUGGACAAAUAAACUAUGGAGAGUUUGUGGAAAUGAUGAGGAAAGGCAAUGACAAUUUUGGAAUCAGCAGAAGAACAAUGAGGAGCACUCUCAACUUUGAGAAUCCUCUUCCUCAUGAGCCUAAGGAAUGAUUAAACUUCUCAUUUUACUGAAUUUUUCUUGAUAUAACUUCCUGUUUAUGUUUUAACACCAGUUAUGUUUUCAAUUAAAAAACAAUUAUGACUAGUGUAGUUGGAUUUAAACUGGGACCCGAUUUAAAUUAUUCCCAUUAUCAAACUUUGAUCUUACCAUGAGAGAAAGAAACUGAAAUAGGUGCAAGAAAAUAGGAAUCACAGAGUACAAUACCAACCUUAUCAAGUGCUAGGAGAACACACAUAAAGAGUUGAUUCAACAGAAUGAUGCAGAAGAGAAAAAAGUGCAGACGACCUCUAGAAGACAACAGUGUCAAGCAUGGUACCUAGCGUCUGAACAAUGUUGGAAGACAUCAAGUUGGAAACAUGUUCUUCCAGAUGCUUCUUUGCGUCUUGUCUUCCCACAUUCACAAUCGCCAGUUUCUCUGGUGACAACUCGUCCUCCUCUUGUACCGCCUUGUUAUACUUAGCAGCUAAGUUCAACAUUUCCUGAGAGACAAUGCCAAUGACCAUGAGUGUGACAUGUUUGAAUAAAUAAAAAGAUUGCAAAAUAAUUGAAUCCUUUAUUACCUGCACGGUCUGUUCGUUUGUCUUGGAGUGGGUGUCAAAGGGUCUUAGGGUCAAACCAUCUGUCCAUUUCUUCUUGUGGAGGUUUAGUAACAUCUUCUCCUCGAGCUCGUUCUUCCUAUAGUUGAUGGCUAUUGAAUAGUAAUGUCUGUUCAAUCCAUGAAUCAAAGCCUGUAUAGUAGUAAACCAAAGUCAGUGUUAGAGACACCCUUUGACUGUGUUCCAACUUUAUAAAAGAUUUCACUAAGUGAUCCAUCACCUGGAUGGAUGGUUUGUUCAGGUGGCCAAGGUUGGACGUUGUCUGACGAGGUUCUUGCCCAAGUAUAAUAGUCUGCGGGUUUAUCGAACGAAACGCAUCAAUCACCACUUUACCCUUCACACUCUGAAUCGGAUCAACCACCACUGCUACAGUGAUAAGAACAGAGAUGAUUAUCGAAGAGUAUCCUCCCAACCGCCCACUCUUAAUCUCCACACCCGGAGAGUUAAGCCAUUUACAACAAUCUCUGGAUGCUUCUUUCUGUUGACUCUAGAGACCUUUUAUAGUUCAAGGUCUCCUUUACAAAUAUCUGUAACAAACUCUUUUUGAAUAUAACUACUUGUUGACUAAGUCAACAGACUUCACACUUCAGUCUUCUCUUCUUUACUGUAUAGCUUCUUUGUUCACUGCUCUCUUCCUUCUCGUAGUAUACACUCGUAGUGGCAUAUCAAUACCCCCCUCGCGAAGACCGAGCUUGCCCUCAAGCUCAUAAGAUGGAAACUGCACUUUAAACUCCUUCACACGCAUCCAAGAAGUCUCGUGAGAAGGUAAGUUCUUCCAACGAAUCAACACCUCAAGAUGUCCUUCCUCACAAUAUCUAACCUCAAGCAACUCCUCUGGUUCCACCACUAACUCAUCAGACUCCGACACUGUAGGAGGUAACGAAGAAACCGACUGUCCCUGGCCCACGACCGGUUUCAGUUGAGAGACGUGAAACACUGGAUGUAUCUUCGAAUCCUCCGGAAGACGUAGGCGAUAAGCAACCUGACCUAUCUUUUCUAACACCUCAUACGGCCCGUAAUAACGAGCAGCCAACUUCUGACAGAUCCUUCUCUGUACCGACUGCUGUCUAUAAGGCCGUAGCUUGAGAUAUACUCUAUCCCCAAUAGCAAAAGUCAACUCUCGUCGGUGCUUAUCAGCAUUGGUUUUCAUCCUUUCCUGUGCCCGUAACAAAUGUUGUUUCACAUCACACAACAAGGCAUCACGUUCUUUCAACAUAGUCUCUAACUCAAAGUUCUGCGUCGAACCAUCCUCGAACCGCAAUAGAGAUGGUGGAUCACGCCCGUAAACCAUCUUGAAAGGAGAACAUUGUGUGGCGGUAUGAAAUGACGUAUUAUACCAGAGCUCCGCCCACAUCAGAUACUUCGACCAGGUCUUAGGGUGAGCAGAAGCAAAACACCGUAGGUAUGUUUCAAGGCAACGGUUAAGAACCUCAGUCUGGCCAUCAGACUGCGGAUGAAAAGCUGUGCUGAACCUUAACCGUGUUCCCGAGGCUUUGAAACAGUCACGCCAGAAGUUGCUCAAAAACACUCUAUCACGAUCCGAUAUAAUAGACUUAGGAUAACCAUGAAGACGGACCACUUCAGCGAGAAACUUCUUUGCUACGUCAGUGGCGGUGAACGGAUGUUUCAAGGGUAAGAAAUGGCUGUAUUUACUCAAUCUAUCAACAACAACCAAUAUCACGUUCACACCUGCUGAAGAUGGAAGACCUUCAAUGAAAUCCAUUGAAAUAUCAUCCCAAAUCUGAAUCGGUAUCUCAAUCGGUUGCAGCAACCCAGCUGGAGAAAGUGUGGAAUAUUUAUGAGUCUGACACACCUCACAAGCUGCAACAUACUCACUAACCCGCUUGCGCAUCUUUGCCCAGUAAAAGUUUGCCUUGACUCUCUUUAACGUCUUAAGAACCCCGGAAUGACCUCCCAAUAAGCCAUCAUGGCACUCUUGCAGUAUCAAACCAAUGUACUUUGAGUUUGAAGGUAAUACGAGACUCCCUUUAUAUAACAAACGCCCACGACAGAGAGUAUACCCUUCUUUGACUUUCUCAUUAGUGCUCAGCCUCCCAAUCAACUCUUGAAUCCCCUGGUCUGCAUCAAUUUCCGCAUAAAUGUCUUGAAGUUGUAACGGAGAGUGCACUGUUAAUGCCCUCAACCGAGAUGGCACAUCCAACGCAGCAUACUGCACAAUCCGAGAAAGACCGUCUGCGACUUUAUUCUCUGCCCCCACCUUAUACUCUAUGUCAAAGUCAUAACCCAUGAUCCUUGUUAACCACCUCUGAUAAUCCAAGGUAACCUCACGCUGCUCCAACAAGUACUUCAAACUUUGCUGAUCAGUGCGAACUACAAAACGCCUUCCCAAAAGAUAAUGCCGCCAUUUUUGAAUUGACAACACAAUCGCCAUCAACUCCCUUUCGUAGAUAGGUUUCAAUUGUUCCUUACUAGUCAGAGCAUGACUAAAGUAAGCAAUUGGAUGCUUAUCUUGCAUCAACACCGCACCUAACCCAAAACCUGAUGCAUCUGACUCAAUCACAAAUACUUUGGUGAAGUCAGGUAAAGCCAAGACUGGUGUAGAAACCAUCGCCUUUUUCAAUGAAUCAAAAGCUGCUUGAGCUGCACACGACCACAGAAACUGCUCUUUCUUUAGUAACUCUGUUAACGGCUUCGCUAGCAUUCCAUAAGCUUGAACAAAACGACGGUAGUAACCUGUAAGACCCAAGAACCCGCGAAGGUCCUUCACCGUUCGAGGAUGAGGCCAGUUCACCACUGCACUGAUCUUUUGAGGAUCAGUAGAUACUCCAAACUCUGAGAUAAUGUGCCCUAGAUACUCCACUUGCUUCUGACCAAAGGCACAUUUCUUUUUAUUGGCAAACAGUUUCUGCUCUUCAAAUACCUGUAAAACUGCUUCCAAAUGCUUCACAUGUUCCUCCAUAGAUGAACUGAAUAUCAAGAUAUCAUCAAAAAAUACCAAUACAAACUUCCUCAAGAACUUCUGAAACACUUCAUUCAUUAAAGCUUGGAAUGUAGCUGGAGCAUUGGUCAGCCCAAAGGGCAUGACAAGGAAUUCAUAAUGUCCUUCAUGUGUGCGAAAAGCGGUUUUCUCGACAUCCUUUUCCUUCAUCCGUAUUUGAUGAUAUCCCGAUCGAAGAUCCAGUUUCGAAAAGUACUUGGCUCCAUGCAACUCAUCUAAAAGCUGAUCGAUGACUGGGAUGGGAUACUUAUCUGGAAUAGUAGCUCUGUUCAAAGCUCGAUAAUCUACACAAAACCUCCAAGAAUUGUCCUUCUUUCUGACCAAGAGUACCGGGCUUGAAUAAGGACUAUGGCUUGGUCGAAUUGAUCCCAUCGCUAACAUCUCUUGUACACUUUUCUCCAUUACAUCCUUGUGAACUUGAGGGUAACGAUAGGGUCUGACACUUACUGGGCCCAUGCCUGGUUGUAAGGUGAUCCCAUGUUCUCUACCACGCACUGGAGGCAACUCAGUUGGCUCCUGAAACACAUGAUCAAACUUUCUCAAAACCUCCUGGAGACUUGCAUGAACCUCAAUGUUCUCCUGUAAAGCUUUAAGGGACUUCUGUGGUUGGUGUACCAAUUGAUCACCCGUCAGCUUAACUCGUUUCCCUUGAUACCAGAACUCAUACUCAUGCUUCUCCCAAUCAAUUUGGCAUUUGCCUAAUGUUCGUAACCACUGCAUCCCCAGAAUCGCAUCAAUAGCACCCAAUUCUAAUACAAUGAAGUCUGUUACAAACGUGACUCCUUGUAACGUGAUUGGAACAUUUCGACAAACUCCUCCUCCUUGAACAGAUACUCCUGUUCCCAACAACACUUCCCAUUCACUUCCAGUCUCCACUUUUAACUUCGUUUGCUUUGCUAACGUUGGUGAGAUGAAAUUAUGUGUUGCUCCACUAUCCAACAUCACCACCAUGUCCGUUUUCUUCACUACCCCGCGUAUCUUCGUUGUUGUUGGUGAAAAACGUCCCAUGAAAGAUCGUAAGGAGAUGGAUUUCAACUGUGGUUCCCACACUAUAUCAUCUUCCUCCAAAUCCCAGACUUCUUGAUCCACCAAAGCAACAUCCAAGCCGUUAACUACAGUCAGAACUCGCAAUUGCGCAUUGGGGCAUACAUGUUGUCUCGACCACUUCUCGUCACAUGUAUAACAGAGUCCCAAUCUUCUUUUCUCCGCAAUCUGAGCUUCUGAAAGUCGUAACUGAGGGCGUUGUGGUCUUGUCUGCCUUGGUGUGGCCACUGGUUGCGGCUUCGCUAUCCACCCUGCAUUUGUAUUGAAGUUGGAGUAUGAUUUACUCUUAUUCUCAGGAUGUCUCGAUGUAGAUGUAUUACGGCUUUGCAUUUCCUUCUGAAUCACCGUAAACAUCGAACUCGACUCCAUCUGAUACGCUGUGGAAAUCAUGUCCGGUAAAUCAAUAGGCUUGCACAUUGUGACUACUUCCCUCAUCUCCGCCGUCAAUCCAUUCAUAAAGAUGCCUUCUUUCUGCCGAUCAGUCAACCCCUGCACCUGCGUGGACAGAUCCUCAAACUUGUGAAUAUAUUCUGCAAUGGAUCCAGUUUGUUGAACCGCAAAGAAUGGCUGACUUGGAUCGCGAAGUCGCACCCUACUGAAACGAGCAAUCAGCCGAUCUUUGAAGUCAAUCCAGCUAACAAACGGUUGCCGCAGAAUCUCACUGUUGAACCAACUCAAUACGUCGCCACUCAAACUGACAGACACCAGUUCAAUUUUCAUCAGUUCACCAUAACCUCCAAUCCGAAAGAAACGUUCCGCCAACGCAAUCCACCCGUACACAUCAUCUCCCGAAAAAAUUGGAAGCUCAACCUUCUUGAUGAAGCUAUCGCGAUCAUCCAAAAUCGGAAAUCUAACCGUAUCGUUCGCUUCCCUAAAGCUACGGCCAGGUUCCGUGUUCACGAAUCGUACCUGAGGAUCUUGUGUAAGAUCGAUCGCGCUCGUGUGAGGAAUCACCUCCUCCAUCGGUCUCUUAUCGAGCUUCCGCAGGAUCGCCUCGAACUUCAGGUCAAGUCGUUGUUCCAACUCCGUCAUCGACGAUCGAAUCUCAUCGAUACUUCCUCUCAGCUGCGCGCUCGUCUCACGUUGCUCCGCGACUUGCGCCGAGAUCGUUUCCAAGUUCCCGGACGGUAACGUCGGUCUCGUCAUCGUGAUCAGUCGCGAUUACUCGAUCCAGAACGCUCUCACGCACCAAUUUGAUAAGAACAGAGAUGAUUAUCGAAGAGUAUCCUCCCAACCGCCCACUCUUAAUCUCCACACCCGGAGAGUUAAGCCAUUUACAACAAUCUCUGGAUGCUUCUUUCUGUUGACUCUAGAGACCUUUUAUAGUUCAAGGUCUCCUUUACAAAUAUCUGUAACAAACUCUUUUUGAAUAUAACUACUUGUUGACUAAGUCAACAGACUUCACACUUCAGUCUUCUCUUCUUUACUGUAUAGCUUCUUUGUUCACUGCUCUCUUCCUUCUCGUAGUAUACACUCGUAGUGGCAUAUCA